UUAUGGACUAAUACCAUUGCAAGGUAUGGGACUUGUCCCACAUCGGUUGUAUGGGCAACCAAUGUGGGGUUUAUAUACCAAAUGGGCUCCCUCACCCACCAGACUAGUCUUUUGGGUUGUGUUCUCCUGUUUGGUAUGUAACAGGCUAUUCUUCUUUUGCGUUAAUAAACAAGGCCACUGGUGAAGCACUUAAUCACGCAAUUGGUGUCAAGUACCCGGUUAAGCUAAGGGAGUACAAUCCUAAUGUAGUUGAGAAGUCUGUACUUUGGAGUAUGGGCAGGAACUUGGGUGAUGGUUAUCGGGCUGUGCGGGCAGCCGAUAAUAUACACCUUAAUCUUACUGCACAUGACACUGAUCUUUAUGAUACAGACAUUGUUUUCUGGAAAUGGGACAGCACUGAUAACCAGAUGUGGACGAUAGCAUCUUAUUGAGGAUAUGGUGGGAUUGAAUUUUGAUGUCUAAGGACCAUUUUCUUACAUGGAGCAAGUUAGGUCAAUUUCUUUUGAGGUUUUGAAGAUGUUGUUUCAUAACCAAGUAGUUGGACCAUCAAACGCAUGAUUUGUGGUUACUAUUUCUAUGUGGUAUACUUCAGUUGAUUUUGUUAUCUAUA